UCUCGGACUAGUUGGUAUUUUGCUGGUAAUGAUGUCAGCUGUAUCCUUUAAGGGAGCUCUUUCCCUCUGUCACGAAAUGCACUUGAUGUAGUUGAGACUUGAGGGAGAGGAGGGGAAACCGAGGCUGUCUCUGGAGGUGGGGGUGUUUGGAUCAAGGAGUUUAGAGCUCGCCUUUCAAACUGGAGUUCCUGUUCCCUCCUUCGGUCCCAGCUGCAGCUGCACCUUGUAGCUCCGGAUUUCUUCCGUGCUGGGAAGCAGCUGUUUUGAUGGGGGAGAUGGUCUCUUCCUGCUAGAGGCAGAGGUUACAAACUCCCCCUGUGAACUGUGAGGAUUGGUGGUGACUCGAGGCUUGUAACAAAAGUUUCUUCUAACCAACUCCCAGUUUGGGGGUGACGCGGAGAGACAGAGGGGAAAGGAAAUUGGCCCUGAGAGCAAGGAAUAGCUCAUCUUCUUCUAUAUAUGCUGCCAUUUGCCAUGAAGAGAAAACAGAAGAGAUUUUUGCAAAUGACGUUGUUGUUCAUGGUGGCUUUAAUUUUCCUGCCUAAUAUUGGUCUGUGGUCUUUGUACAAGGAUAAACACCUGGUGAAAUCUCCAGAGCCAGGAGAGCAGCAGUAUCAAAGCAUCUAGGACUUCCAGUCAUUGUGCUCGACACUGUACAAACACAGAACAAAAGGACAGUUCCUGCCCUGAAACUCUUACAACUUACCGAAAAGAAUCCAAAACUAAUCCAAAACAUUUCCCCUAUGAAGAAUCUAAGGCCCUGAUCCUGCACUGAACUCAGAGCAGGUGGACCCCUGCAUCCGUACAGAGAUCCAUUGAAGUCAAUGAGCUAUUGUGGGUUCAGGUGUCUGUCCAAAGGGAGCACAGUACAGAAUCGGGACAUAAGUUAGAAGAAGAACAGCUCAGCUGUAUUAAAAAUGUCAAAAAAUAGCUAUAUUAUGGCCCUGAUCCAGCAAAACACUUAGGCAUGUAUUGACUUCAGUGAUAUAACUCUAUGUUCAUAAAGUUAAGCACACGUUUAAAUGCUUUGCUUGAUUGGAGCCUAGGAGAGGGGAAUGUUUGAAUGGUCACAUUAAAAAAGGUAAAACACACUGCAGAAACGUGUGAAUUUGAAGGGUGAUAAUUUAAUCACAAAGCAACUUGGGAAAUUCUCAAUUAAGAUUCCCACACCUACUCUACCCCACCCUCAGCCAGUCAGGUGGAGCAGACUAGGCUGACUAAAAUAAGCUGCAGCAUACAUCUUUGCCCUUCCCUCAAAAUUAAUGGAAAGCCUUUUUGUGGGCAGGGGCAAUGGGCGGGUAUGUGUGGAACCAGCCCAGUAAACUCUUUCCGUUGUCUUUGGUUGACAUGAUCUCAGCCUAUUAUAUCAGCUCCCAUCUGAAAAUGUUUUAAUAGAGAUACCUCAGAGUACAUGGUGUACUGGCAAGCCCAAGUCUCUUAUGAUUCAUGGCUUGCUAGACAUGAUGUACAGGACCUUGUGCUGCCAGUUUUUGGAGAAGGUUCUACUGCUGGAACCUUCCUCAAAAUAGUUCUACAAUUAUGGAGGAGCAUUCCCAAAUCCUUGUGUACCUGCUUGGGAUCUAAUGACUGUGUGGCUGGGGAGUGCAGACGCUGUGCCCAGGUAUUCUUGUCAGCAGCGCUAAUCUCCCAAGAAGGAGUGGGAUGGAUGAGAUGAGGGUAUUCUAUUCUAAAUGUUUUUACACUACUCUCAUCAGUGGACUAUCCCAGCACCCUCCACUAGGUGGUGUGACUAACAUCUGUCCUGUGGUUCUCUCAACCUCUCCCUAAGGAGAAAAUUGUGUUCAGUG